rnacentral:lncRNA from 10 species
CUGUUAUAUUAGGGAGUACUAGAAAAAUAUGGCCUGGUAUUUGUAAUAAUGUCCUGCAGAAAGCCAUAGGCUGUAAUGUGACUUUUGUGUGUAUGAAAAUAAUAGCUAUUUAGGUGAAUUCAAGAUGUUUUGUUUUCCCUAGCCUCUCUAUUAAAAAUAAACAUCAAGAGUGUUGGCUUGGUGGUUGGGGAAUGAGUAGGGAGGGGAUGGGUACUGGUUAACAUUUAACUUGUGUAGCAGCGUUACUGAUAUGCCACUGGGAGAUGGUGGUCCUGCUCAUACGAACACAGGGAAAUAAGAUUUGAGGAGGCAGGAAGGAGAUGCAGCAGAACGGAAAAUCAGAGAGAUUCCAAGCAUAAGAAGGAUUUGGUGCGCUGUUGCUGGUUCUGAGAUGGAGGAAGCCACGUGCAAGGACUGAAGAGAGGCCUGUGGAACCUGAGGAUGGCCCGCAGCUGAUAGCCUGCAAAUAAAUGGAAUCUCAGUCCUAUAACUGCAAGGAAUUAGACUCUGCCAAUGUCAGUGAGCUUGGAAGCAGAUUCUUUCCUAGAGCCCUAGUCAGGGACACAGCCUUGCUGAUACCUUGAUUUUAGCCUGGAGAAAUCUGUGUGGGACUUCUAACUCACAGAAGUGUUAGAUAAUAAAUGGAUGUUUUUCUUAGCCGCUGAACUCAUAGUAAUCUGUUAUGGCAACAAUAAAAAACUAAUACAAAGUGUACGAGAUACAAAUCUCUUGUGUUUCUUUUUUUUUUUUUUUUUCCUAAUACACAGGAGUGAGGCAGGCAGCUCGUUAUGGUGAUAGGUGAAAUUCUCCUUAGGAACCAAUAUUUGAGGGGAACUCCAAGGUGUCUAGAAGGCUCUAUCAACCUAAGGAAUUUAGUGCACACAGAAAAGAGCAUGAGGGAUGUCCACAGAAGGCACUAACUCAUCCCCCGCAUAAUGUGAAGCAGGCUGCUCAGCUGAGUCUAGUUUAUACUGCACCGCCCCCUGACUCCACCACUACCCCUUUCUCACAGACUUGGGAGAGUUUCAGCCCAGCCCAGCCCAGCCCUCAGGCCCCUACAUGGAUAUUGAGAGCAGCUGGGAAGGGGAUGGAACAAUAAAGAGCUCACAUUUAGGUAAUAAAAGAGGGUAAGCAUAGAAGCCAAUAAACUAAACAAGAAUAGACCUCAUCAAUUAACCCCCACUAAGGCAGAGUCCCAGCAUGAAAAUAGAUUCAUC